AUUGAACGCUGGCGGCAUGCCUUACACAUGCAAGUCGAACGGCAGCGGGGACUUCGGUCCGCCGGCGAGUGGCGAACGGGUGAGUAAUGUAUCGGAACGUACCAUUGAGUGGGGGAUAACUAUCCGAAAGGAUAGCUAAUACCGCAUAUUCUAUCCGGAGGACAGCAGGGGAACGCAAGGCCUUACGCUCAUUGAGCGGCCGAUAUCAGAUUAGCUAGUUGGUGAGGUAAAGGGUCACCAAGGCGACGAUCUGUAGCGGGUCUGAGAGGAUGAUCCGCCACACUGGAACUGAGACACGGUCCAGACUCCUACGGGAGGCAGCAGUGGGGAAUUUUGGACAAUGGGGGCAACCCUGAUACAGCCAUGCCGCGUGAGUGAAGAAGGCCUUCGGGUUGUAAAGCUCUUUCGGCCGGGAAAAAAUCGCAUGGGUUAAUACCCUGUGUGGAUGAUGGUACCGGAAUAAGAAGCACCGGCUAACUACGUGCCAGCCGCCGCAGUAAAAC
rnacentral:rRNA from 1 species